GUUGUAUGGUUAAGUGACUAAGCGUACAGGGCGGAUGCCUUGGCAAUCAGAGGCGAUGAAGGACGUGCUAAUCUGCGAAAAGCUUGGAUGAGUCGAUAAGAGGCGUUUAAUCCAAGAUGUCCGAAUGGGGAAACCCGAUGGAUGAAGAAUCCAUCAUUUCAUGGUGAAUACAUAGCGAUGAAAGGCGAACCGGGAGAACUGAAACAUCUAAGUACCCCGAGGAAAAGAAAUCAACCGAGAUUCUGUGAGUAGCGGCGAGCGAAAGCGGAAGAGCCAGUAAGUUUUAGCUAGCAUAUUAGAGGAAUUGGCUGGGAAGCCAAAUCAAAGAGGGUGAUAAUCCCGUACUCGAAAGUAUGUUAGUGGAACUAAGCUUACGAUAAGUAAGGCGGGACACGAGAAAUCCUGUUUGAAGAUGGGGGGACCAUCCUCCAAGGCUAAAUACUCCUGAUUGACCGAUAGUGAACCAGUACUGUGAAGGAAAGGCGAAAAGAACCCCGGUGAGGGGAGUGAAAUAGAACCUGAAACCCUGUACGUACAAGCAGUAGGAGCGAGGGCAACCUUGCUGCGUACCUUUUGUAUAAUGGGUCAGCGACUUAUAUUUUGUAGCGAGGUUAACUGAAUAAGGGAGCCGAAGGGAAACCGAGUCUUAACUGGGCGUUGAGUUGCAAGGUAUAGACCCGAAACCCGGUGAUCUAGCCAUGGGCAGGUUGAAGGUUGGGUAACACUAACUGGAGGACCGAACCGACUAAUGUUGAAAAAUUAGCGGAUGACUUGUGGCUGGGGGUGAAAGGCCAAUCAAACCGGGAGAUAGCUGGUUCUCCCCGAAAUCUAUUUAGGUAGAGCCUUGAGCGGACACGGGGUAGAGCACUGUUUCGGCUAGGGGUCCAUCCCGGAUUACCAACCCGAUGCAAACUGCGAAUACCGAAGAGUGAUACUCAGGAGACACACGGCGGGUGCUAACGUUCGUCGUGGAGAGGGAAACAACCCAGACCGCCAGCUAAGGUCCCGAAGUCUAUAUUAAGUGGGAAACGAAGUGGGAAGGCUUAGACAGCUAGGAUGUUGGCUUAGAAGCAGCCACAUUUAAAGAAAGCGUAAUAGCUCACUAGUCGAGUCGGCCUGCGCGGAAGAUGUAACGGGGCUCAAAUAUAGCACCGAAGCUGCGGCAUCAGAAUUUAUUCUGUUGGGUAGGGGAGCGUUGUGUAAGCGGAUGAAGGUGGCUCGAGAGGGUUGCUGGACGUAUCACAAGUGCGAAUGCUGACAUAAGUAACGAUAAAACGAGUGAAAAACUCGUUCGCCGGAAGACCAAGGGUUCCUGUCCAACGUUAAUCGGGGCAGGGUGAGUCGGCCCCUAAGGCGAGGCUGAAAAGCGUAGUCGAUGGGAAACGGGUUAAUAUUCCCGUACUUGGAUAAACUGCGAUGUGGGGACGGAGAAGGUUAGGUUAGCAGACUGUUGGAUGUCUGUUUAAGGUGGUAGGUGGAAGACUUAGGCAAAUCCGGGUCUUUAUAAACACUGAGAGCUGAUGACGAGGUCUUAAGGGACUGAAGUAACUGAUACCCUGCUUCCAGGAAAAGCCACUAAGCUUCAGGUUUAUCUAAACCGUACUGAAAACCGACACAGGUGGUCAGGUAGAGAAUACUCAGGCGCUUGAGAGAACUCGGGUGAAGGAACUAGGCAAAAUAGCACCGUAACUUCGGGAGAAGGUGCGCUUACAGUAAUUGUAGUCCCUCGCGGAUGAAGGUGAAGUAAGUCGAAGAUACCAGCUGGCUGCAACUGUUUAUUAAAAACACAGCACUCUGCAAACACGAAAGUGGACGUAUAGGGUGUGAUGCCUGCCCGGUGCUGGAAGGUUAAUUGAUGGUGUUAUCGAAAGAGAAGCUCCUGAUCGAAGCCCCAGUAAACGGCGGCCGUAACUAUAACGGUCCUAAGGUAGCGAAAUUCCUUGUCGGGUAAGUUCCGACCUGCACGAAUGGCAUAAUGAUGGCCAGGCUGUCUCCACCCGAGACUCAGUGAAAUUGAAAUCGCCGUGAAGAUGCGGUGUACCCGCGGCUAGACGGAAAGACCCCGUGAACCUUUACUAUAGCUUGACACUGAACAUUGAAUUUUGAUGUGUAGGAUAGGUGGGAGCCUUUGAAGCAGUGACGCCAGUCAUUGUGGAGGCGACCUUGAAAUACCACCCUUUAACGUUUGAUGUUCUAACGAAGUGAUGACGGUCGGACAUCGUCAGGUUAGUGCAAUGGUAUAAGCAAGCUUAACUGCGAGACAGACAAGUCGAGCAGGUGCGAAAGCAGGUCAUAGUGAUCCGGUGGUUCUGAAUGGAAGGGCCAUCGCUCAACGGAUAAAAGGUACUCCGGGGAUAACAGGCUGAUACCGCCCAAGAGUUCAUAUCGACGGCGGUGUUUGGCACCUCGAUGUCGGCUCAUCACAUCCUGGGGCUGAAGUAGGUCCCAAGGGUAUGGCUGUUCGCCAUUUAAAGUGGUACGCGAGCUGGGUUUAGAACGUCGUGAGACAGUUCGGUCCCUAUCUGCCGUGGGCGUUGGAUGAUUGAUUGGGGCUGCUCCUAGUACGAGAGGACCGGAGUGGACGCAUCACUGGUGUUCCAGUUGUCUCGCCAGAGGCAUUGCUGGGUAGCUAAAUGCGGAAGAGAUAAGUGCUGAAAGCAUCUAAGCACGAAACUUGCCAAGAGAUGAGUCAUCCCUGACUUUAAGUCAGUAAGGGUUGUUGUAGACUACGACGUAGAUAGGUUGGGUGUGUAAGUGUAGUGAUACAUUGAGCUAACCAAUACUAAUUGCCCGAGAGGCUUAACCAUACAACGCUCAAG
rnacentral:rRNA from 1 species